rnacentral:rRNA from 1 species
CCUACGGGAGGCAGCAGUAGGGAAUCUUCCGCAAUGGACGAAAGUCUGACGGAGCAACGCCGCGUGAGCGAUGAAGGCCUUCGGGUCGUAAAGCUCUGUUGUCAGGGAAGAACAAGUACCGGAGUAACUGCCGGUACCUUGACGGUACCUGACCAGAAAGCCACGGCUAACUACGUGCCAGCAGCCGCGGUAAUACGUAGGUGGCAAGCGUUGUCCGGAAUUAUUGGGCGUAAAGCGCGCGCAGGCGGUUCCUUAAGUCUGAUGUGAAAGCCCCCGGCUCAACCGGGGAGGGUCAUUGGAAACUGGGGAACUUGAGUGCAGAAGAGGAGAGCGGAAUUCCACGUGUAGCGGUGAAAUGCGUAGAGAUGUGGAGGAACACCAGUGGCGAAGGCGGCUCUCUGGUCUGUAACUGACGCUGAGGCGCGAAAGCGUGGGGAGCGAACAGGAUUAGAUACCCUGGUAGUCCACGCCGUAAACGAUGAGUGCUAAGUGUUAGAGGGUUUCCGCCCUUUAGUGCUGCAGCAAACGCAUUAAGCACUCCGCCUGGGGAGUACGGCCGCAAGGCUGAAACUCAAAUGAAUUGACGG